CCUGACGACAUUAGCGAGUGUGAACCACCUGAUCCCAUCUCGAACUCAGAAGUGAAAGUGCUUAGCGCCGAUGGUAGUGUGGGGUUUCCCCAUGUGAGAGUAGGUCAUUGUCAGGC
rnacentral:rRNA from 5 species